UACGUAGGGAGCAAGCGUUUGUCCGGAAUCAUUGGGCGUAAAGCGCGCGUAGGUGGCUUCGUAAGUCCGCUGUGAAAGUCAAAGGCUCAACCUUUGAAAGCCGGUGGAUACUGUGAAGCUAGAGUACGGAAGAGGCGAGUGGGAAUUCCUGGUGUAGCGGUGGAAUGCGCAGAUAUCAGGAGGAACACCAAUAGCGAAGGCAGCUCGCUGGGACGUUACUGACACUGAGGCGCGAAAGCGUGGGGAGCGAACAGG
rnacentral:rRNA from 1 species